ACUCCUACGGGAGGCAGCAGUAGGGAAUCUUCCACAAUGGGCGCAAGCCUGAUGGAGCAACACCGCGUGAGUGAAGAAGGGUUUCGGCUCGUAAAGCUCUGUUGUUAAAGAAGAACACGUAUGAGAGUAACUGUUCAUACGUUGACGGUAUUUAACCAGAAAGUCACGGCUAACUACGUUGCCAGCAGCCGCGGUAAUACGUAGGUGGCAAGCGUUAUCCGGAUUUAUUGGGGCGUAAAGAGAGUGCAGGCGGUUUUUCUAAGUCUGAUGUGAAAGCCUUCGGCUUAACCGGAGAAGUGCAUCGGAAACUGGAUAACUUGAGUGCAGAAGAGGGUAGUGGAACUCCAUGUGUAGCGGUGGAAUGCGUAGAUAUAUGGAAGAACACCAGUGGCGAAGGCGGCUACCUGGUCUGCAACUGACGCUGAGACUCGAAAGCAUGGGUAGCGAACAGGAUUAGAUA
rnacentral:rRNA from 1 species